CUGAAGGACAGAGGAGAUAUGUGGUCCUUUUAUUAUCUGCAAAUGAAGCCCAGGGCGUGUGGUAUGGCCUAGAGCAACUUCUCCAAGUUGAAGUGGAUUUCUUAAGAUUUAGAAAUUAUUAAUUUAGGAUUCAUGAUGAACUUCAGAAGAUUCACAGAGCCAAAAAUGGAAUGCAAGUAUGAAUAGUUCAUCAAAGGAGUGAAUGAAUUGACCAACAAAGAUGGAAGUGAGGCAAAUAAAUGAAAAGUAAAAUCUGAAUGCGAUGGAAAUGGAGUUCUAGAAGAAAUCGCUGGCCGUGGCGGUGUUGACACCAGGGCGGUGUGAGCCUCUGGACGUGCAGCCAGGCACUCGGCGAAGCCAACUUACUGACAUCAGUGGAGAAAGUGGCUGUGAUGAAGGGAUGCUGAUGUCCCAGAGGAAGUGACUCCAGGAAAAUACUUACGUUAAAGAAACUCUUGGAGGUAUUUCAGGGCACCGAACGUGUGCAAAGGAUAAAGUGUCGGAAGCGAAUCUAGAUUUAGAAAGGAAUGUGACAAUUUUGCCAGGGCAUCGAAAAGAUGUGUAGCGAGUUAGAUGAUGAGAAGAAAGCAAGUGCUGCUGAAAUGCUUCUUGAUG